rnacentral:rRNA from 1 species
GACGAACCGUGCAACCGUUGUUCGGAAUCACUGGGCUUAAAGGGCGCGUAGGCGGACCACCAAGUCAGGGGUGAAAUCCUGCGGCUCAACCGUAGAAGUGCCUUUGAUACUGGUGGUCUCGAGGGAGGUAGGGGCGUGCGGAACUUCCGGUGGAGCGGUGAAAUGCGCAGAUAUCAGGAGGAACACCAAUGGCGAAGGCAGCACUCUGGGACGUGACUGACGCUGAGACGCGAAAGCGUGGGGAGCAAACAGG